CCUUUCUCACUGGUUUUUUUAAAACACCAUUUCCUAAUACCUUUAUGGCUUAUUUCAUAUGUUUAGGCCUUUGAUACAACAGGAAUUUACUAAAGCAGGAAGGCAAGGAUCUAGGUGUCUUCUCACUUUCUUUUUUUUUUUUAGCUUCUAAAAGCCUUGAGCAAAUGGCCUUUUCUCCUACAGUCAUUCGACAACUUGGCCAGCUGCAACACAAUGGAGACCAUUUCUAGAAAAACCUGUUUCUCAGAGCCACACUCUUCAGCUGUCUGACCCGUUAGUAAAGCUGCUCAUGAUUGCACGGACCAAGUGACUCUGAGUGAAAAGUUCCUCAGGCAGAACGCAGACCGACUCUUUGUUUCUAGAACCAUAACUGGAACUGGGAUGCAACAGCAUAGGUGAUCCAGAGCAGACUUAAAACCAGAGGCUGAGUGACUCCUUCAGAGUGCCCUGAGGACACUAUACUGAGAUGGCAUUUUAACUCCAUGGAUGCUUAAAAACAAACAAGGCUGCACUGCUUAAGACAACUAAGACCACAUCGAACACAAUAAAGACGCAGCUCAGGGAGGAUGGAAGCCCACAGCCUUCCAUGGGAGCCCAUGUGACUUUUCCUGGCUUUCUCUUACAAUACAAAACAUUUGUAACUUAAGUUUCCUGAAAAGAGAAUAUAUUUUGAAAACUGGAAAACAAACACUUAUUUUUAAAGUGUACGGUUCUGUUCUAAAUGAAAGCCACCCCACCUUGCCUCCUACAUCUCUGUCUAACAGAUCUACAGCUCCUGAGUAACAAGAAGAUUCACUUGCUUUUGUUUCCACAACUAAUCCAGCAUCUCCCAUGUGACAAGAAACUAAGUUAACCAGCACACAGUAAAAAGGGCAUCUUCCACACCCAUGACUGUCUACAGAGCUCAUCACCAGAGACACAAGCAGAAAGAGAAGAUGAAGAUGUGCAGAAAGGUCAUGCAGGACUUACCGUUUU